AUUGAACGCUGGCGGCAUGCUUUACUCAUGCAAGUCGAACGGUAACAGGGUGCUUGCACCGCUGACGAGUGGCGAACGGGUGAGUAAUGCGUCGGAACGUGCCGAGUAGUGGGGGAUAACGCAGCGAAAGUUGUGCUAAUACCGCAUACGUACUGAGGUAGAAAGUGGGGGACCUUCGGGCCUCACGCUAUUCGAGCGGCCGACGUCUGAUUAGCUAGUAGGUGAGGUAAAGGCUCACCUAGGCGACGAUCAGUAGCGGGUCUGAGAGGAUGAUCCGCCACACUGGGACUGAGACACGGCCCAGACGCCUACGGGAGGCAGCAGUGGGGAAUUUUGGACAAUGGGCGAAAGCCUGAUCCAGCCAUGCCGCGUGUCUGAAGAAGGCCUUCGGGUUGUAAAGGACUUUUGUCAGGGAGGAAAUCCCUAGUGCUAAUAACACUGGGGGAUGACAGUACCUGAAGAAUAAGCACCGGCUAACUACGUGCCAGCAGCCGCGGUAA
rnacentral:rRNA from 1 species